AGUGUCAAGGAAGCUACGUAACUAGCACCUGCUCUUAGGCUGUUAGGUUUUCAAGCAGAGCUCUCCGUUCCAAUUUUGAAAAGGUGUUUUCAGUUGACUCUUGAUCCUUGUCUUUGCUCAGCCUGCCAAGCCAGCCCAGAUCAGUCCUUGGGUGUCCUGACCAGGAAUAAACACAUCUCCUCUCACCCACAAACAUCCUGGCUGCUCACUCAUCAGAAAACAGGACUGAGACGUCCACAGAACCAGAUGUGUGCAUGUCACAGGCAGAAGCUGAGGAUCUGUGUUCUAUCGAGCUCCCGGGUGAUGCAGAUACUGAAGGUCCGGAAAGCGCACACUGGGUCUGGGAAGCCCACGUUGAGAACAACCCAAGAGUGAGGAAAGUCAGCAUCAGUUCUACAAAUUCACGGCCAAACUCAGAGUUUUGGAAAAGGCUCAAAACCCUGUUUGGAGAGACAGUUCAUCUCCCUUCUUCCCCAGGUGGCUGCCUGCAGGAAGAACGAGGAAGGGCCCCUCCGCUGCUGGAGAAACCACUGCCCGCCCAUGACACAGGAUAGCAAGGGGCCCACUCAGGUGCAAGGCGUGAAUACUGAUGACCCACGGAACUCCGGGCUCUCCGCUGUGCAAGCACGCGGCUGGCCCGAGGGCAGAAUCAUCCUGACAGUUCUCCUCCCUGCGGUCAUCUGAAUUCACAGAACGUCCUUCCAGCCUGAGAAUGGAAGCCGGCUUUGCUGGGCUCACUCAUCACUCACGGUGGACAGAACCCUGGGCCCCAGUGCCUGGAUUAAAGCAUCUCCCUGGGGCAGAACUCCCACGAGCAGCUCCUUGGCUCCCCCAACCCCAGGGAGACCCGGGCACCCACGACUGCAUCAGAAGCUGCCCGUGUUCAAAGAAGAGGGAGAUGGAGCUGGCCCAGGGGCGCACGGCCGGUCCACUCAUGGGAAAAAACUUCACCAAGCACAUGGGAGGGGAGGACAUCACUCGCUAAAAUACCUGCAUGCUGUCCAGCGUGUUCUGGGUGAAGAGCAAAGCAAAACACAAUGACCGGAAGACGUGGUGAAUAAAAGAAAACCCAGGUUCUCAGCCCAUCUGCGUGGCCUUCUCCAUUUUCCCAACCAAAGCACAUUACACCCGUCCCCCAUGUGUCAGGGCCUGCACCCUGCACCAGCGCCGGGCGACGUGACCUCAGCGGGGCUGUCACAGAGCGGCAGCUCAGGAGGCAGAUUAAAACAACACAGACCAUCAGAUCGAUGGGCUUGGGGUGAAGA